GGAGUUAGCCGGUGCUUCUUCUGUGAGUGAUGUCCUUCCUGCCGGCUAUUAACCCGCAGGCCUUCUUCCUCACUGAAAGUGCUUUACAACCCGAAGGCCUUCUUCACACACGCGGCAUGGCUGGAUCAGGGUUGCCCCCAUUGUCCAAUAUUCCCCACUGCUGCCUCCCGUAGGAGUCUGGGCCGUGUCUCAGUCCCAGUGUGGCUGAUCAUCCUCUCAGACCAGCUACGGAUCGUCGCCUUGGUGAGCCGUUACCUCACCAACCAGCUAAUCCGACAUAGGCUCAUCCGAUAGCGCGAGGCCCGAAGGUCCCCCGCUUUCCCCCGUAGGGCGUAUGCGGUAUUAGCCUGGGUUUCCCCAGGUUAUCCCCCACUACCGGGGCAGAUUCCUAUGCAUUACUCACCCGUCCGCCGCUCGCCACCAGGGAGCAAGCUCCCCGUGCUGCCGCUCGACUUGCAUGUGUUAGGCCUGCCGCCAGCGUUCAAUCUGAGCCAGAAUACAAACUCUGA
rnacentral:rRNA from 1 species